ACUCAAAUGAAUUGACGGGGACCCGCACAAGCAGUGGAGCAUGUGGUUUAAUUCGAUGCAACGCGAAAAACCUUACCCAGGCUUGACAUGCAGUGGAAAGCUCCAGAAAUGGAGCCCUCCUUCGGGACCGCUGUACAGGUGCUGCAUGGCUGUCGUCAGCUCGUGCCGUGAGGUGUUGGGUUAAGUCCCGCAACGAGCGCAACCCUUAUCGUUAGUUGCCAACAUUUUAGGUGGGAACUCUAGCGAGACUGCCCGGGUUAACCGGGAGGAAGGUGAGGAUGACGUCAAGUCCGCAUGGCCCUUAUGUCUGGGGCUACACACGUGCUACAAUGGGUGGUACAAAAGGCAGCGAAACCGCGAGGUGGAGCAAAUCCCAAAAGCCACCCCCAGUUCAGAUUGUAGUCUGCAACUCGACUACAUGAAGAUGGAAUUGCUAGUAAUGGCGAGUCAGCAUUAUCGCCGUGAAUACGUUCCCGGGUCUUGUACACACCGCCCGU
rnacentral:rRNA from 1 species